GACGAACGCUGGCGGCGUGCCUAAUACAUGCAAGUAGGACGCAGUUGCGAACGGGUGAGUAACGCGUAGGUAACUACCUAUUAGAGGGGGAUAACUAUUGGAAACGAUAGCUAAUACCGCAUACUAGUGGAUGUACCUGCGUUGUAUUAGGUAGUCGGUAGGGUGAUGGGCUACCUAGGCAACGAUACAUGGGCGACCUGAGAGGGUGAUCGGGCAACAUGGGACUGAGAAACGGCCCAGAAUCCCACGGGAGGCAGCAGUAGGGAAUCUUCGGCAAUGGGGGGAACCCUGAACGAGCAACGCCGCGGUAGUGAAGAAGGUUUUCGGAGCGUAAAGCUCUGUUGUUAAGGGAGCGGUACUUAACCAGAAAGGGACGGCUAACUACGUGCCAGCAGCCGCGGUAAUAC
rnacentral:rRNA from 1 species